rnacentral:rRNA from 1 species
UGGCUCAGAACGAACGCUGGCGGCGUGCUUAACACAUGCAAGUCGAACGCGAAAGGGGACUUCGGUCCUGAGUAAAGUGGCGCACGGGUGAGUAACGCGUAGAUAACCUGUCUUCAUGUCUGGAAUAAUACGCCGAAAGGGGUACUAAUACCGGAUAUUCUUGCUUUUCAUAAGUUAUGCAAGCAAAGGUGGCCUCUGCAUAUGCUACUGCAUGAAGAGGGGUCUGCGUACCAUUAGCUAGUAGGUGGGGUAAUGGCCUACCUAGGCGACGAUGGUUAGCGGGUCUGAGAGGAUGAUCCGCCACACUGGCACUGGAACACGGGCCAGACUCCUACGGGAGGCAGCAGUGAGGAAUAUUGCGCAAUGGGGGAAACCCUGACGCAGCGACGCCGCGUGAAGUGAGGAAGGCCUUCGGGUCGUAAAGCUCUGUCAAGAGGAAAGAAGUGUACAAUGGCUAAUACCUGUUGUAUUUGACGGUACCUCUAAAGGAAGCACCGGCUAACUCCGUGCCAGCCGCAGC